AGAGUUUGAUCAUGGCUCAGGAUGAACGCUGGCGGUAUGCUUAACACAUGCAAGUCGAACGAAAUCUUCGGACUUAGUGGCGGACGGGUGAGUAAAGCGUGAGAAUCUGGCUUCAGGUUGGGGAGAACAGAGGGAAACAGCUGCUAAUACCCACUGUGCUGAGAGGUAAAAGAUUAAUUGCAUGAAGCUGAGCUCGCGUCUGAUUAGCUAGAUGGUGGGGGAAAGGCCUACCAUGGCGACGAUCAGUAGCUGGUCUGAGAGGAUGGGCAGCCACACGGGGACUGGGACACGGCCCAGACUCCUACGGGAGGCAGCAGGGGGGAAUUUUCCGCAAUGGGCGCAAGCCUGACGGAGCAAUACCGCGUGAGGGAGGAAGGCCCUUGGGUUGUAAACCUCUUUUCUCAAGGAAUAUAAUGACGGUACUUGAGGAAUCAGCAUCGGCUAGCUCCGUGCCAGCCGCCGCGGUAAUAC
rnacentral:rRNA from 1 species